rnacentral:rRNA from 1 species
UACAGAGGUCCCAAGCGUUGUUCGGAUUCACUGGGCGUAAAGGGGGCGUAGGUGGCGAGGUAAGUCGGAUGUGAAAGCUCGGAGCCCAACCCCGAAAUGGCAUUGGAAACUACCUUGCUCGAGGGUUGGAGGGGGGACUGGAAUGCUUGGUGUAGCAGUGAAAUGCGUAGAUAUCAAGCGGAACAUCAGUGGCGAAGGCGAGUCCCUGGACAACUCCUGACACUGAGGCACGAAAGCUAGGGGAGCAAGCAGG